rnacentral:misc_RNA from 1 species
UUUCCGUAGGUGAACCUGCGGAAGGAUCAUUAUUGCACCACCGAGGUACGAGGCUUGACGCUUAUCCGAUAGGUCGGGCACGCCCGAGUGCCCUCAUACACAUCCAUCCUACCCCUACGUGCAUCACCGCGUCGGUCGCCGUUUGGCCUGGGAGGAGGGGGGCGUAGGGUUUGACACAAACUUUGUAGGCUGUGUAGUAUGUAUUUAUUGUUAUUGCGAUCACGCAAUGGAUACAUCUUUCAACAACGGAUCUUAUGGCUCUCGCACCCAUGAAGAACG